rnacentral:rRNA from 1 species
CCUACGGGAGGCAGCAGUGGGGAAUAUUGGACAAUGGGGGAAACCCUGAUCCAGCGACGCCGCGUGAGUGAAGAAGUAUUUCGGUACGUAAAGCUCUAUCAGCCGGAAAGAAAAUGACGGUACCUGACUAAGAAGCCCGGGCUAACUAAGUGCCAGCAGCCGCGGUAAUACGUAGGGGGCAAGCGUUAUCCGGAUUUACUGGGUGUAAAGGGAGCGUAGACGGGAGCGCAAGUCUGGAGGGAAAUGCGUGGGCGCAACCCCGGAACUGCUCUGGAAACUGUGAAGCUGGAGUGGAGGGGAGGUAAGCGGAAUUCCUGGUGUAGCGGUGGAA